rnacentral:rRNA from 1 species
UACGAAGGGGGCUAGCGUUGCUCGGAAUCACUGGGCGUAAAGGGUGCGUAGGCGGGUCUUUAAGUUAGGGGUGAAAUCCUGGAGCUCAACUCCAGAACUGCCUUUGAUACUGAAGAUCUUGAGUUCGGGAGAGGUGAGUGGAACUGCGAGUGUAGAGGUGAAAUUCGUAGAUAUUCGCAAGAACACCAGUGGCGAAGGCGGCUCACUGGCCCGAUACUGACGCUGAGGCGCGAAAGCGUGGGGAGCAAACAGG